rnacentral:tRNA from 1 species
GGCGGGCAAGCGGACUGUAAAUCCGUCGGCUUAGCCUACGCAGGUUCGAACCCUGCACCCGCCA